rnacentral:rRNA from 1 species
UACGGGGGGAGCAAGCGUUGUUCGGAUUUACUGGGCGUAAAGGGCGCGUAGGCGGCCACCGCAAGUCGACUGUGAAAUCUCCGGGCUUAACCCGGAAAGGUCAGCCGAUACUGCGGGGCUAGAGCGCAGAAGGGGCAACUGGAAUUCUCGGUGUAGCGGUGAAAUGCGUAGAUAUCGAGAGGAACACCUGCGGCGAAGGCGGGUUGCUGGGCUGACACUGACGCUGAGGCGCGAAAGCUAGGGGAGCGAACGGG